AUUGAACGCUGGCGGCAGGCCUAACACAUGCAAGUCGAGCGGAUGAAGGGAGCUUGCUCCUGGAUUCAGCGGCGGACGGGUGAGUAAUGCCUAGGAAUCUGCCUGGUAGUGGGGGAUAACGUCCGGAAACGGGCGCUAGUACCGCAUACGUCCUGAGGGAGAAAGUGGGGGAUCUUCGGACCUCACGCUAUCAGAUGAGCCUAGGUCGGAUUAGCUAGUUGGUGGGGUAAAGGCCUACCAAGGCGACGAUCCGUAACUGGUCUGAGAGGAUGAUCAGUCACACUGGAACUGAGACACGGUCCAGACUCCUACGGGAGGCAGCAGUGGGGAAUAUUGGACAAUGGGCGAAAGCCUGAUCCAGCCACGCCGCGUGUGUGAAGAAGGUCUUCGGAUUGUAAAGCACUUUAAGUUGGGAGGAAGGGCAGUAAGUUAAUACCUUGCUGUUUUGACGUUACCAACAGAAUAAGCACCGGCUAACUUCGUG
rnacentral:rRNA from 1 species